rnacentral:lncRNA from 1 species
CCCCAGGUAGGGUAAAACACAUUACUUAAUUCCUUACUACCAUCUGACUAACUAUGCAAAGUAAAAAAUGUCCAGCUUCAAAUAGAAAUCACCUUUUUCUUUUCUUUUGUUUUAAAGUAAACUCUACCCCCAAUGUGGGACUGGAACUCCCCACCAGAGAUCAGGAGUUGCAUGCUGUACUGACUGAGCCAGCGAGGCACCCGUAGAAAUCACCUUUUUCAUCAAAUGGCUUCACCAACCUCUUUAGAAUCCAGUGCACAAGACCAAGGAAUGGGCCCAGGAAUCCUUUGGAGGAAAUAUGGAGAGCAUUGGCAAUAGUUGUUAAGUUCAGUACAGUGAAAUCCAGUUACCCAACUGGAGUUAACUAUACCAAGGCAAUGGAUACCAGCAAGAAAGGUGUGGAAAACAAUGCCGGUACCCAUUUGUUCCUCGGUUGGAUCAGAAGAGUUUCAGUGAUACCAAAUCUUGUGCCGGUUGUGACAUCUGUGUCCAUGAAUAUGCUGACUGUGACUGGGCACCCUUCAUAUGAAGAGAUCUGAGUUCUUCAUGGCAUGCCAGAUGCAGUUGCUAUUAUUGGAUAAUCAUCCAAUUUCUCCAUAUGCCUUCCAAGGGAAAACGAGUCAAUUUCAGGUAAGCAUCUAAGUAGCUCUUACUUAUCUGCUCAGCAUUGUUUCUUUAUAGAUACUAAAAAUAAAUAGGGCAAAAAUUUUCCAACUUGAUCCCUUUAAUAAUUUAUAUGUAGGUGUCUGAGAGCACUAAGAAAAUUAAACUAUUUUUAAAGGCUGAUAAAUAACAAUCUACUAUGAGGAAACCAGUCUGAGAAGAAAAA